GACAGAGGUGGCAAGCGUUAAUCGGAAUUAUUGGGCGUAAAGAGCGUGUAGGCGGCAGAAUAAGUCAGAUGUGAAAGCCCUGGGCUUAACUCAGGAAGUGCAUUUGAUACUGUUUUGCUUGAGUACUGGAGAGGGAAGAGGAAUUCCUGGUGUAGAGGUGAAAUUCGUAGAUAUCAGGAGGAACACCGGUGGCGAAGGCGACUUCCUGGCCAGAUACUGACGCCGAGACGCGAGAGCGUGGGGAGCAAACAGGAUUAGAAACCCUAGUAGU
rnacentral:rRNA from 1 species